UACGGAGGGUGCAAGCGUUAUCCGGAUUUACUGGGUUUAAAGGGUGUGUAGGCGGGCUUUUAAGUCAGGUGUGAAAUUUCGGAGCUCAACUCCGAAACUGCAUUUGAUACUGGCGUGCUUGAGGACUGGAGAGGAGACUGGAAUUUACGGUGUAGCAGUGAAAUGCGUAGAGAUCGUAAGGAAGACCAGUGGCGAAGGCGGGUCUCUGGACAGUUCCUGACACUGAGGCACGAAGGCCAGGGGAGCAAACGGG
rnacentral:rRNA from 1 species